rnacentral:rRNA from 1 species
CUUUCCCUCUGGCGGCAUGCCUUACACAUGCAAGUCGAACGGUAACAGGUUAAGCUGCCGAGUGGCGAACGGGUGAGUAAUGUAUCGGAACGUGCCCAGUCGUGGGGGAUAACUGCUCGAAAGAGCAGCUAAUACCGCAUACGACCUGAGGGUGAAAGCGGGGGAUCGCAAGACCUCGCGCGAUUGGAGCGGCCGAUAUCAGAUUAGGUAGUUGGUGAGGUAAAGGCUCACCAAGCCGACGAUCUGUAGCUGGUCUGAGAGGACGACCAGCCACACUGGGACUGAGACACGGCCCAGACUCCUACGGGAGGCAGCAGUGGGGAAUUUUGGACAAAGGGCGCAAGCCUGAUCCAGCCAUGCCGCGUGCGGGAAGAAGGCCUUCGGGUUGUAAACCGCUUUUGUCAGGGAAGAAAAGGUUCUGGCUAAUACCUGGGACUCAUGACGGUACCUGAAGAAUAAGCACCGGCUAACUACGUG